GGCAGCAGACGAGUGCGCGCACCAGCGCCAUGGAGGGCCGCGGGGCUGACCUGGAGGUUCGGGCUGUCCCGCAGCUCCACUCGGACCGUCAGGCCUGAGGAGAUGCAUGGAAAUCAUAAAUAGAGGUGGUUGAUUUGAUGCUUCCACGGAACUUUUUUGAAUAUACUUCUGGCAAAGAAGUAAGUCUAUACAAAGAAGUAAGCAAAGAUAAGUCUGGCAAAGAAGUAAGUCUACACAAAGAAGUAAGCAAAGUUUCAAGUCCUGCCAGGGCAGCCGAAGUCCUGCUUCAGCUUUUGGAUGAUUCAAAAGCUUUCAAGAACCAAAGUGCAUUCCAGUGGUGGACAAGAUGGUCCUUGGAGUUUCUCAGUUCACAACCUCUAGAAUAUGGGAGAAAAUGGAGCCAGAAAAAAAUGUUAAAGAACCUUGCCAGUGAUGUAUUAUUAAAGAAGGAAGGAAGGAGGAAGAAUGGAAGGGGGAGGGAAGAAGAAGGAAGGAGGUG